rnacentral:rRNA from 1 species
GAUGAACGCUGGCGGCGUGCCUAAUACAUGCAAGUCGAGCGAAUGGAUUAAGAGCUUGCUCUUAUGAAGUUAGCGGCGGACGGGUGAGUAACACGUGGGUAACCUGCCCAUAAGACUGGGAUAACUCCGGGAAACCGGGGCUAAUACCGGCUAACAUUUUGAACCGCAUGGUUCGAAAUUGAAAGGCGGCUGCGGCUGUCACUUAUGGAUGGACCCGGGUCGCAUUAGCUAGUUGGUGAGGUAACGGCUUACCAAGGCAACGAUGCGUAGCCGACCUGAGAGGGUGAGCGGCCACACUGGGACUGAGACACGGCCCAGACUCCUACGGGAGGCAGCAGUAGGGAAUCUUCCGCAAUGGACGAAAGUCUGACGGAGCAACGCCGCGUGAGUGAUGAAGGCUUUCGGGUCGUAAAACUCUGUUGUUAGGGAAGAACAAGUGCUAGUUGAAUAAGCUGACACCUUGACGGUACCUAACCAGAAAGCCACGGCUAACUACGUGCCAGCAGCCGCAGUAA